CACGCCGUAAACGAUGAGUGCUAGAUGUCAGGGUCUUAGAUCCUGGUGUCGCAGCUAACGCAUUAAGCACUCCGCCUGGGGAGUACGGUCGCAAGAUUAAAACUCAAAGGAAUUGACGGGGACCCGCACAAGCGGUGGAGCAUGUGGUUUAAUUCGAGGCAACGCGAAGAACCUUACCAGCCCUUGACAUGUCUAGUAUGGGAUAGAGAGAUUUAUUCCUUCAGUUUGGCUGGCUAGAACACAGGUGC
rnacentral:rRNA from 1 species